CACGCCUAACCGACUUCACGUGCAGACUUCCUUGUGCGGCAAUCCUUGUGUCUAAUGUACUCUCAGUGUCUAGGGAUUAGCAACUACGCAGCCUCUUACAUUCUUUAGUCCAUGUGUUCUUCCUUCCAUCUUCAAAGACAGCAAUAGCAAGCUGAAUCCUCGACUCACACCAAUCCAGUCCUCCCAACCCUGCUUUCUGCUUUCAGAUAUUUGUUUCAUUUGAUACAGUUGAACCUCUUGAAAAAUGGACUCACUGGAUUCUAACCAUGCUCAAACAGUGAUAUUCAGCUGUAGUACCUCAAAAGUGCCAGAAGAAUUUGUUAUAUCGGGUAAUGGCCUGAACACGAGGAGCUCUUUGGUUCAAUGUAUUUCACAUGAUAAUAAUUUUGAGAUAUUCUGAAGUUCAGUUUGCUAAAACAUCUCCAAAUGAUGAAAGGCUUCAAUACAAUUAAACGGUUUGAAACGCAGCUUAUUUGUAAUGAUAAAGGAACAAAACAAUAAAUUUACAAAAAAGUAUCACCUCUUCCUAGA